UACGUAGGGGGCAAGCGUUGUCCGGAUUUAUUGGGUUUAAAGGGUGCGUAGGCGGUCCUAUAAGUCAGUGCUGAAAUAUCCCGGCUUAACCGGGAGGGUGGCAUUGAUACUGUAGGACUUGAGUAGAGUUGAGGUUGGCGGAAUUGACGGUGUAGCGGUGAAAUGCUUAGAUAUCGUCAAGAACACCGAUAGUGUAGACAGCUAACUAAGCUCUAACUGACGCUGAGGCACGAAAGUGUGGGGAUCAAACAGG
rnacentral:rRNA from 1 species